rnacentral:rRNA from 1 species
AUGGAAAUCAAGGAGGGACCGAUCCUCUCUGUGUUGUCGGAGCGUCUCCACGCGCUGCGGAAGCAGCAGAAUCGCGUCGCGCGGACGGAAGAGUCCGUCGCCGCCGGCAAGACGCUUAGCCAGGAGCAGAAAGAGGCGAUGCGCUCCAAGCCUAUCCUCGCCGCCGUCAUCGACGAGCUCGAGCGCCUCCGCGCGCCGCUCGCCGCCGCCCUCGCCGAGGAGCUCUCCACUAUCUCCGCCCCUGCUGCCGGACUUUGUCAAACGGCUGACCUGAAGAAUAAUUCUGGUUUCUUGUGUUCUGAGAACUCUCCAGCGCCGUGUUAA